rnacentral:ncRNA from 2 species
CGCUUUCGCGCGGGAGCUCGACCCGCGACCGCCACGAUAGUCGAGUUCAUCGACGACCACAGGGAAUCGUUCGGAGUCGAGCCGGUCUGCCGUGAAUUGGAGAUCGCUCCG